CACGGCCUGGCCCCCUCACCCACGUGCGGGGCCCCGGGACUCCCACCUCCGAGGGUCUCGCCUUGCCCGGGAUACUGGAGCGGGACUCGGGCCGGGCCGGCCGCGGGCUCCGAGACCCUUGGGCUGCAGCCCGGGCGGGAGCCGCCCCCUUUGUCUGGCGGGGCCGAGCGGAGCAGGACACUCACCGCGUGCGGCGGCGGCUCAGUAGCAGCAGCAGCAACAGUGCGGCCAGGAGGCCGAGGAGCGCGGCCCAAGCCAUCGCGGGGCUGGCGGGGCUGGCGGGGCUGGCGGGGCUGGCGGCCUGGCCCACUCCCAGGCUGACAGGACAUCCAACCCUCUGGCUAUGGCAUCUUGGAGGAACAGGCAGGCCUUGAAAAUAGCAGAAAUUCCGAAUUCCCCUGCCCCGGGAGGACUCAAAGGACCCUGCUGAGGACAGAGCUGAUAUGGCCUCAGAAUAAAGAUGAGGGAAGACCAUCCCAAGGAAGACCCCUCUAGCCCAUGGCAAAAGGGCUGGAAUACGCAAGGAUUUGAAAAGCAAGUUUUGCUUUCCAUAUAAACCUAAGCAAGUCGCUUAAUCUGUGAGCCUCAACUACUUUACUUGUGCAAUGGGCAUGUUGCUGGUAGUGGUGAUAGCAGGGAGCCACCGAGAGAGCUUCCAAGUGUGCCAUCUAAGCCCUCCUCUGGGGAAGGGAAGCUCCUCUGGGGAAGGGAAACUGGACCCCCGGGAAAAUUUAUUCUCCCAGGGACGAACAUCCAGACAUUUCCCUGUAGGAGCCUCAGUGUGUUCAGAUGUUCACUGUCCAGUAGAAACAAGACAUCUAGGCAACUCUCCCAUCUCACCAAGCCUCUGCUCUCUUCUGUGGCCACUGUGGGGUUGUGAGAGUAAUGUCAAGACCCAACCCAAUUAGAACACAGGGAAUUUUGCCUGGGAAAGGGAGCCCUUCUACCCUACACCCCUGCUUUCUCUCUUCCAAGGAUCAGGUCUGAUUCAUGUCUGCAUCCUAAAGGCUACAAAUAAACUGUGUCCGGAAAGGAAAAUAUUAUGUGUAUUGCCUUCUUCAAGGCUAAAAACCAGUCUCAACAGAGAGGGGCAGUUUUAAAUAUUUUUUUGUAACAAUAGUUCUAACUUUAGUUAGUAACUGAAGCCAUCUGAAACACUUUUUCAUAAUAAUUUAUUUAUUCCCCACAAAGAACCUAUAAAAUGGGUAGUAAAAUUAUUCCGAAUUCACAGAUGGUGAAAUCAAGGUCCAGAAAGAGUCACUUCACCCAAGGUCACGUAGUACUUCCUUUGAUAAGCUAGAGCAUGGGAAUUUGAUGGCUUCUUAGGACAAGCUAACUUACUCCCUGGUGCUGCAAACACACCCUGGGCCUUCCCACCUCCACACCUUUGCUCAUGCUGUUUACCUGGCUGGGAGAAAGGGACAGAAAGGAGGACAAAUGGAAGGAAGGGACAGAGGAAAGAAGGGACCGUGGGCUGCAGUGCAUUCUUAGAAAGGUCAAGUCUGGCCGGGCACAGUGGCUCAUGUCUGUAAUCCCAGCACUUUGGGAGGCUGAGGUGGGUGGAUCAGUUGAGGUCAGAAGUUCAAGACCAGCCUGGGCAACAAGGUGAAAACCCCGUCUCUAUUAAAAAUACAAAAAAUUAGCCAGGAGUGGUGGCUGGCACCUAUAAUCCCAGCUACUUGGGAGGCUGAGGCAGGAGAAUUGCUUGAACCUAGGAGGCAGAGAUUAGAGUGAGCCGAGACCGCACCACUGCACUCCAGCCUGGGUGACAGAGCGACUCUGUCAAAAAGAAAAAAGAAAGAAAGAAAAAGAAAGUAAGUAAGUUAGUUCAAGGCUAACAGGUUGUCCUUGAGCCUCCUGAGGAGCCCUAUGUCUCCCAAGAACAAGUCUGCUUCCCCCAGUGAUUGGCUAGGAGCAAACCCUGGGAAGCAUGGCAUAUCUGUCAAUCAGGCUCCACCAAGGGAGGUCCCAGAGGUGUGUUUUCAUGGCUGCUGCAGCUACGAAAGGAAGCACAGCUGCCGUCUAAAACUGGAACAAUGCAAGAAUAAAUUCUUCCACUUACAGAAGCUAAACGAGGUUGAGAGGUGGAGGGGAAGGAGAGACCCAAACCGCAACGUUUCUGGUGUUUUUGUGCUGCUAAAGAGAGAGUGGUAAACUCAAGUCUUCGAGCAAGUAUUGCAAAUGAAUGAAGUGAGCCAGUCAUAUCAGGAAGGCAACAGGGAGGGAUGGGAACAAUGGAAAACUAGAGAGGGCUGCCCCAUCCAAAAGGAAGCAGCUUCUGGCAGUACCAGCCAACUAAAGCCACGUAGAAAUACAUGCCUAGUGUGGCCAGAUCUUUAGACUCAAGAGAAGCCAGAAAUAAUGGCUCCAAUUAUUUUAAAACGCUGCAUAGACCAACAGCACACACCUGCCCCCAGAUUUUUAGCCCUGCAGUCUAGUUGUGCCAAGGGCCAGUGGUUUAAACAUUUGGGGUAUGUAAAAUAGGUUUGGAGUUGGGAUGUUGAACAAAAUUGCUCUGUAGAAUUAAGGAAGGACAACAGAGUUUUAGGGGGCAGCCUGAAAGAGGGGGCAAAGACCAGGCCGACAUGAGCACAGAUUGGGGGCCUGUCCCAGUGUGACAUCCUCUGUGGAAUUAGGAGCCAAUAAAU
rnacentral:lncRNA from 10 species